rnacentral:rRNA from 1 species
UUGGAGGGCAAGUCUGGUGCCAGCAGCCGCGGUAAUUCCAGCUCCAAUAGCGUAUAUUGAGGUUGUUGCAGUUAAAAAGCUCGUAGUUGAAUUUCGGGAUCAGCAGGUUGGUCGUGCCAAUGGUAUGCACUGGCCUCGCUGAUUCCUCCCUCUUGAUGAGCCGUAAUGCCAUUAAUUUGGUGUUGCGGGGAAUCAGGACUGUUACUUUGAAAAAAUUAGAGUGUUUAAAGCAGGCAAGCGCUUGAAUACAUUAGCAUGGAAUAAUGAAAUAGGACGUUUGAUCCUAUUUUGUUGGUUUCUAGGAUUGACGUAAUGAUUAAUAAGGAUAGUUGGGGGCAUUAGUAUUCAAUUGUCAGAGGUGAAAUUCUUGGAUUUAUUGAAGACUAACUACUGCGAAAGCAUUUGCCAAGGAUGUUUUCAUUAAUCAAGAACGAAAGUUAGGGGAUCGAAGACGAUCAGAUACCGUCGUAGUCUUAACCAUAAACUAUGCCGACUAGGGAUCGGAUGAUGUUAAUUUUUUAAUGACUCAUUCGGCGCCUUACGGGAAAC